UUUAUAACACCCGAAGUCGGUGGGGUAACCGCAAGGAGCCAGCCGCCGAAGGUGGGAUAGAUGAUUGGGGUGAAGUCGUAACAAGGUAGCCGUAUCGGAAGGUGCGGCUGGAUCACCUCCUUUCUAUGGAGA
rnacentral:rRNA from 1 species